rnacentral:rRNA from 1 species
AUUGGACGCUGGCGGCAGGCCUAACACAUGCAAGUCGAGCGGUUGAGGGGAGCUUGCUCCCUGAUGCAGCGGCGGACGGGUGAGUAAUGCGUAGGAAUCUGCCUAUUAGUGGGGGACAACGUUUCGAAAGGAACGCUAAUACCGCAUACGUCCUACGGGAGAAAGCAGGGGACCUUCGGGCCUUGCGCUAAUAGAUGAGCCUGGGUCGGAUUAGCUAGUUGGUGAGGUAAUGGCUCACAAAGGCGACGAUCCGUAACUGGUCUGAGAGGAUGAUCAGUCACACUGGAACUGAGACACGGUCCAGACUCCUACGGGAGGCAGCAGUGGGGAAUAUUGGACAAUGGGCGAAAGCCUGAUCCAGCCAUGCCGCGUGUGUGAAGAAGGUCUUCGGAUUGUAAAGCACUUUAGGUUGGGAGGAAGGGUUGUAGAUUAAUACUCUGCAAUUUUGACGUUACCGACAGAAUAAGCACCGGCUAACUCUGUGCCAGCCGCCGCCGUAACAC